rnacentral:rRNA from 1 species
UACGUAGGUGGCAAGCGUUGUCCGGAUUUACUGGGCGUAAAGAGCGCGCAGGCGGUCGUUCAAGUCGCGUGUGAAAGCCCCCGGCUCAACUGGGGAGGGUCACGCGAUACUGAUCGACUCGAAGGCAGGAGAGGGAUGCGGAAUUCCAGGUGUAGCGGUGAAAUGCGUAGAUAUCUGGAGGAACACCGGUGGCGAAGGCGGCAUCCUGGACCGGCAUUGACGCUGAGGAGCGAAAGCCAGGGGAGCAAACGGG